UACGGCUGCUCAGUAACACGUAGUCAACUUACCCUAUGGACGAGGAUAAUCUCGGGAAACUGAGCAUAAUACUCGAUAGAUCAUAAUGCCUGGGAUGGUUUAUGGUUGAAAUGAUUCAUCGCCAUAGGAUGGGACUGCGGCCUAUCAGCUUGUUGGUGAGGUAAUGGCCCACCAAGGCGAUUACAGGUACGGGCUCUGAGAGGAGAAGCCCGGAGAUGGGUACUGAGACAAGGACCCAGGCCCUAUGGGGCGCAGCAGGCGAGAAAACUUUGCAAUGUGCGAAAGCACGACAAGGUUAAUCCGAGUGAUUUCUGCUAAAGAAAUCUUUUGCAAGUCAUAAAACCACUAGUGAAUAAGGGGUGGGCAAGUUCUGGUGUCAGCCGCCGCGGUAAAACCAGCACCUCAAGUGGUCAGGAGGAUUAUUGGGCCUAAAGCAUCCGUAGCCGGCUCUGUAAGUUUUCGGUUAAAUCCAUGUGCUCAACGCAUGGGCUGCCGAAAAUACUGCAUAGCUAGGGAGUGGGAGAGGUAGACGGUACUCGGUAGGAAGGGGUAAAAUCCUUUGAUCUAUCGAUGACCACCUGUGGCGAAGGCGGUCUACCAGAACACGUUCGACGGUGAGGGAUGAAAGCUGGGGGAGCAAACCGGAUUAGAUACCCGGGUAGUCCCAGCUGUAAACGAUGCAGACUCGAUGAUGCAUUGGCAUAUAGCCAGUGCAGUGUCGCAGGGAAGCCGUUAAGUCUGCCGCCUGGGAAGUACGUACGCAAGUAUGAAACUUAAAGGAAUUGGCGGGGGAGCAG
rnacentral:rRNA from 1 species